AUUGAACGCUGGCGGCAUGCCUUACACAUGCAAGUCGAACGGCAGCACGGGUGCUUGCACCUGGUGGCGAGUGGCGAACGGGUGAGUAAUACAUCGGAACAUGUCCUGUAGUGGGGGAUAGCCCGGCGAAAGCCGGAUUAAUACCGCAUACGAUCUACGGAUGAAAGCGGGGGACCUUCGGGCCUCGCGCUAUAGGGUUGGCCGAUGGCUGAUUAGCUAGUUGGUGGGGUAAAGGCCUACCAAGGCGACGAUCAGUAGCUGGUCUGAGAGGACGACCAGCCACACGGGGACUGAGACACGGCCCAGACUCCUACGGGAGGCAGCAGUGGGGAAUUUUGGACAAUGGGCGAAAGCCUGAUCCAGCAAUGCCGCGUGUGUGAAGAAGGCCUUCGGGUUGUAAAGCACUUUUGUCCGGAAAGAAAUCCUUGGCCCUAAUACGGUCGGGGGAUGACGGUACCGGAAGAAUAAGCACCGGCUAACUACGU
rnacentral:rRNA from 1 species